UGCCUUCAGGAUGGGGACAACAGACGGAAACGACUGCUAAUACCGAAUAAGUUCCAAGAGCCGCAUGGCCCAUGGAAGAAAAGGUGGCCUCUACCUGUAAGCUAUCGCCUGAAGAGGGGUUUGCGUCUGAUUAGCUGGUUGGAGGGGUAACGGCCCACCAAGGCGACGAUCAGUAGCCGGUCUGAGAGGAUGAACGGCCACACUGGAACUGAGACACGGUCCAGACUCCUACGGGAGGCAGCAGUGGGGAAUCUUCCGCAAUGGGCGAAAGCCUGACGGAGCAACGCCGCGUGAGUGAUGACGGCCUUCGGGUUGUAAAACUCUGUGAUCCGGGACGAAAAGGCAGAGUGCGAAGAACAAACUGCAUUGACGGUACCGGAAAAGCAAGCCACGGCUAA
rnacentral:rRNA from 1 species